rnacentral:rRNA from 1 species
CCUACGGGUGGCAGCAGUGGGGGAUAUUGGACAAUGGGGGAAACCCUGAUCCAGUGACGCCGCGUGAGUGAAGAAGUAUUUCGGUAUGUAAAGCUCUGUCAGCAGGGAAGAAAGAAAUGACGGUACCUGACCAAGAAGCCCCGGCUAACUACGUGCCAGCAGCCGCGUUAAUACGGAGGAUGCGAGCGUUAUCCGGAUUUAUUGGGUUUAAAGGGUGCGUAGGCGGAUCGUUAAGUCAGUGGACAAAUUGAGGGGCUCAACCCCUUCCAGCCAUUGAAACUGGCGCUCUUGAGUGGAAGAGAAGUAUGCGGAAUGCGUGGUGUAGCGGUGAAAUGCAUAGAUAUCACGCAGAACCCCGAUUGCGAAGGCAGCAUGCCGGCUUCCGACUGACGCUGAAGCACGAAAGCGUGGGGAUCGAACAGGAUUAGAUACCCUUGUAGUC